ACCCGUAAAAAUGCACAACAACAAAUCCACAAAUGCAAAUGACAACAGCCAUAAAAAUCGUGAACGUAAAUUUCUGAAAUCAUCCAGGCCUUGACCAUCAUCGACUCCUUCCUCGUAAUUCAGGCUGCUGUGCCG
rnacentral:sRNA from 12 species